rnacentral:lncRNA from 1 species
UCCUUCUCCUUCUUCUUCUUCUUCUUCUUCUUCUUGAUUUCUUCUUCUUCUCCUCCUCCUCCUCUUUAUUCUCCUAUUUCGUAUUCUCCUUACCUUAUUUUCCCCAACAAUGACAUAAUUAGCCCAUUUAGCUCCAAAAUGACAUAACAAGCUCAAAAUGGCAUAAAAACCUUGGUUAACUCAUCAAUAUUAUAUUCUUAGCUUGUUUUCCU